UACGGGGGGGGCAAGCGUUGUUCGGAAUUACUGGGCGUAAAGGGCUCGUAGGUGGCCAACUAAGUCAGACGUGAAAUCCCUCGGCUCAACCGGGGAACUGCGUCCGAUACUGGCGAGGCUUGGAUCCGGGAGAGGGAUGUGGAAUUCCAGGUGUAGCGGUGAAAUGCGUAGAUAUCUGGAGGAACACGAGUGGCGAAGGCGGCAUCCUGGACCGGUAUUGACGCUGAGGCGCGAAAGCUAGGGUAGCAAACGGG
rnacentral:rRNA from 1 species